rnacentral:rRNA from 1 species
GCUUGUCUCAAAGAUUAAGCCAUGCAUGUCUAAGUAUAAACACCUUUAUACUGUGAAACUGCGUACAGCUCAUUAAAUCAGUAAUAAUUUAUUUGAUGGUGACUUACUACAUGGAUAACCGUAGUAACCUAGAGCUAAUACAUGCUGGCGUGCCCGACUUUUGCGGAAGGGCGGUAUUUAUUAGAUAACAAGCCAAUAUUCCUCCGGGUCUAUUGUGGUGAUUCAUAAUAACUGAUCGAAUCGCAAGGCCUUUGGCCGCGAUAAGUCAUUCAAGUUUCUGCCCCAUCAGCUUUCGAUGGUAGUGUAUUGGACUACCAUGGCGUUCACGGGUAACGGAGAAUUAGGGUUCGAUUCCGGAGAGGGAGCCUGAGAAACGGCUACCACAUCUAAGGAAGGCAGCAGG